CACCACACCAAAUGUUUAGGGCAUCAACCCCAACAACACAUCGUUGGGCCAAUACACUUUUAAGUAACGACUCCUCUUUGGGAGCCCAGAAGUUCACUGCCCUCAUACACAUUUGACCAAAGGUUCAGCAACCAACACAUUCAAAACCUAUUUUAACUUAGUGAGUCUUUUUUUCCUCUAUUAAUGCAUAUAAAUUUCGAGAUAAAUUUUCCCAUACUCAUUCAAAGAUUCAAUCACUUAAAAUGCAAUUACUCUU
rnacentral:lncRNA from 1 species